GGUGUCCGAUGGCGGAGAAGGGGUGUCCGAUGGCGGCGACGGGGUGUCCGAUGGUGGAGAAGGGGUGUCCGAUGGCGGCGACGGGGUGUCAGAUGGCGGCGACGGGGUGGCGGGCGUCGCCGGAGAGGAAGGUGAGGAGGGCGAGGGCGCAGAGGGAGUCGCCGGGGUGGAAGACGGCGAGGGCGGGGACGCGGCAGGGGUCGCCGGGGGAGGGACGGAGGGGGACGACGGCGGCGGCGCGGAGGGGCCCGGCGGGGGCGGGGUGGGCUUGGGAGGGGUGGGCGUCGGGGGCGACGCGGACGGGGUCGCCGGUGGCGGGGUUGUCGCAUUGGCCGGCGGGGCCGGUGGCGCGGUCGGCGCUGGCGCGGCCGUCGGCGACGACAUCGCGCCCCCUCGCUCCGGCUUUGGAGCUGGGUUGUUGUUAGUUGGCGCGUUAGAAGAAUUGGCCGGAGGUGACGACGAGGCGAGAUGCUUCGCGGUGCUGGCGCCUAGCCGCCUAGGAGGAGUAGUAGCAAGCAAUCGAAGCGGUAGCAGCAAGCUGCAGGAAGAGGAGAGUAGUAGCACUGUGACUGUGAUAGUAGCAGCAGUACACAUCCCAGCAGUAGGCACCUGCCCAGGGUAAACGGAAAGUGAGACGGGAAACCGAAGGCGUGGAGGGAGAGGGGUGGGCCCUCCCCCUCGGCUGGACAGCGCUCUGUUGGUGUCACGGUCACCGACAGGUGGACGAGGCCUGCCGCGGCCCUAAACCCUCGGGCUCACCUGUCUGUGACGUGAAGAAUUCGCGUGCGUGCCUGGCCAGUGG
rnacentral:misc_RNA from 1 species